UACGUAGGGAGCAAGCGUUGUCCGGAAUCAUUGGGCGUAAAGAGCGCGUAGGUGGCCACAUAAGUCCGUUGUGAAAGUCAAAGGCUCAACCUUUGAAAGCCGAUGGAUACUGUGUGGCUAGAGUACGGGAGAGGCGAGUGGAAUUCCUGGUGUAGCGGUGGAAUGCGCAGAUAUCAGGAGGAACACCAAUAGCGAAGGCAGCUCGCUGGGACGUUACUGACACUGAGGCGCGAAAGCGUGGGGAGCGAACAGG
rnacentral:rRNA from 1 species